rfam:Triticum aestivum genome assembly, contig: Triticum_aestivum_CS42_TGACv1_scaffold_100726_2AL
AAAGUACUCCCUCCAUCCCAAAAUUCUUGUCUUAGAUUUGUCUAGAUAUGGAUGUAUCAAGUCACAUUUUAGUAUUAGAUACAUCCGUAUCUAGACAAAUCUAAGACAAGAAAUUUGGGACAGAGGGAGUAGUUG